rnacentral:rRNA from 1 species
UACGUAGGGGGCAAGCGUUGUCCGGAAUUAUUGGGCGUAAAGCGCGCGCAGGCGGUCAUUUAAGUCUGGUGUUUAAGCCCGGGGCUCAACCCCGGUUCGCAUCGGAAACUGGAUGACUUGAGUGUAGGAGAGGAAAGUGGAAUUCCACGUGUAGCGGUGAAAUGCGUAGAGAUGUGGAGGAACACCAGUGGCGAAGGCGACUUUCUGGCCUAUAACUGACGCUGAGACGCGAAAGCGUGGGGAGCGAACAGG